rnacentral:rRNA from 1 species
AAGGCUGAAAUUCGCCUUCAUGAAGCUGGAAUUGCUAGUAAUGGCAGGUCAGCAUACUGCCGUGAAUACGUUCCCGGGCCCUGUACACACCGCCCGUCACACCAUGAGAGUUGGAAAUACCCGAAGCCUGUGAGCUAACUGUAAAGAGGCAGCAGUCGAAGGUAGAGCCAAUGAUUGGGGUGAAGUCGUAACAAGGUAUC